CAGAGUGGCAUUAGAGGUGACGCAAAGGGGCAAGUGGCCUUGUUGUCCCGGACCAACGCCAACGUGUUUGAUGAGGCUGUACGGGUGACGGAAGGGGAAGUCCCUUCAAGGAUACAUUUGAUUGGGGGGAUUAAAUCAUUUGGAUUGGACAGAAUCAUUGAUAUUUGGAUCCUUCUUCAGCCAGAGGAAGAACGGAGGAAACAAAACCUCGUCAUUAAAGACAAAUUUAUCAGAAGAUGGGUGCACAAAGAAGGCUUUAGUGGCUUCAAGAGGUAUGUGACCGCUGCUGAGGACAAGGAGCUUGAAGCCAAGAUCGCAGUUGUUGAAAAGUAUAACAUCAGGAUUCCAGAGCUGGUGCAAAGGAUAGAAAAAUGCCAUAUAGAAGAUUUGGACUUUGCAGAGAUGGAGUCUCACCAUGUUGGCCAGGCUGGUCUCGAACUCCCAACCUCAGAGUACAUUCUGGGCACUGUGCACAAAGCCAAAGGCCUGGAGUUUGACACUGUGCAUGUUUUGGAUGAUUUUGUGAAAGUGCCUUGUGCCCGGCAUAACCUGCCCCAGCUUCCCCACUUCAGAGUUGAGUCAUUUUCUGAGGAUGAAUGGAAUUUACUGUAUGUUGCAGUAACUCGAGCCAAGAAGCGUCUCAUCAUGACCAAAUCAUUGGAAAACAUUUUGACUUUGGCUGGGGAGUACUUCUUGCAAGCAGAGCUGACAAGCAAUGUCUUAAAAACAGGCGUGGUGCGCUGCUGCGUGGGACAGUGCAACAAUGCCAUCCCUGUUGACACCGUCCUCACCAUGAAGAAGCUGCCCAUCACCUAUAGCAACAGGAAGGAAAACA
rnacentral:sRNA from 1 species